GGAGUCUGAGCCCGAAAGCUCAGCGCUGCGACUGCACAGACCACAUGGUACUGUUACGAAGCGCACCACUCACCGGAAAAGCUUCCCUCGGAAAAGCCUGCCAGCAUCCCCGCACGCCAGUUGCUUCAAAACACUCGGAGAAAUCCCCAUCAGUUCGCACCUGAUCCUGAUCGCAUCCGUCACCUCGGCUUCGGGCAUUCCACAAAGUGUCCCCCGCGUUUCGACGACUGUGCGACCGACCGCCCUCUUUAAAAAACAAUUUCCGAUCGGCCCCCUUUCGUGAGUUUUGUGCUGUCCCCGCAGCAGUCGCCGACCUGGGCCUAAAUAAGAUUCCGCGGAUCGUAGCCCUAAUUGGGAGUUAGGCGCCUCAGUUACCGUCCCUACCUGUUACGUGCUCGGAGUUCAUUUUAAUUCCAUUUCCAAGUUGUUUUAAACGCUCGUCCGAUAAGUGAUUCUCUAACCGAUUCUAAGUAAUCUCAUCGUGAUUUUCUCUCUCCGGAUGACGGUGACGGCUGACGGUUCAAAGGAUAUCCAUGAGGUUUUGGCUUUAGCCUUCAGAUGAGUGUGUGAGGAACGGACACCUGGUCUUGCUCGUAAAUGUUGUGAGGACCAGGUGAUGGAGAAUGCCUGCCGUAAAGCGAGGCAUAACUGCUGAGCACGGCCCAGGGCGGCCCGUAGGCCAGCUGGGUCCAGGAUGCUUCGUCCCAAAGGAUGAAGAAGCAAAACGUCCGGACCCUCUCUCUAAUAGUUUGCACGUUCACUUAUCUCCUAGUCGGCGCGGCUGUCUUUGACGCUCUCGAAUCCGAGACAGAGAAAAAGCGCUGGGAAGCCUUGGACGCUAUAGAAAGAAUGAUAAUUCGAAAAUACAAUAUUUCUCGGGACGACUACAAAGUAAUGGAAACGGUCGUCAUCAAAACCGAGCCGCACAAAGCGGGACAGCAAUGGAAAUUCGCCGGUGCCUUUUAUUACGCUACCACUGUGCUCACAACGAUCGGCUAUGGCCAUUCGACGCCCAACACUAUAAGCGGGAAGCUGUUCACGGUCUGCUAUGCCAUGGUCGGCAUCCCUCUCGGAUUGGUCAUGUUCCAUUCCAUCGGUGAACGGCUCAACAAACUCUCCUCUGUCGUCAUCCGACACGUCAAAACCCUCAUGAGGUCGAAAAACACGGAGGCGACGGAGAUCAACCUCAUCUGCGUCGUCACCAUCCUGAGCAGCCUUAUCAUCACUGGAGGAGCGGCCAUCUUCUCAAGAUACGAGGGCUGGACUUACUUUGACUCGGUAUACUACUGCUUCAUCACGCUGACGACGAUCGGUUUCGGGGACAUGGUGGCCCUGCAGAAGGACAACGCUUUGUCGGAGAAGCCCGAGUACGUGGCGUUCGCGCUCAUCUUCAUCCUCUUCGGCCUGGCCAUCGUCGCCGCCUGCCUCAACCUCCUCGUCCUCCGCUUCGUCACCAUGAACACCGAAGACGAACGACGCGACGAAGCCGAGGCUCUUCAGGCGGCGCAAGGGGCGGUGAGCCUGGAGGGAGACGUGAUCACUGCCAACGGGUCGAUCCUGAGCGUCCAGAUCGGGGAGUCGAGCUCGCUGGUGGAGAGCAACUCGGUCUGCAGCUGCAACUGCGGCGGCUGGACGCGGCGGCGCAAAGGUGAAGCCCCCCAUCAUUUGCUCCCCAUCGUCCCGCAGGCACCCCGUCCAAGGGCAUCCAUAUGACAUCCCCUCUUGAACCUCACUUGUACAAAUUCAUUCGUCAUUAUUUAAUAGAUCCAGCUCACGUUUAACCCACUCCGAUGCCGGUCCUCACGCCGAGCUCCCACAGGUCACCAUGGGCCCCCCCUCAUCAUAACACUUGGAGAGAGAUAAUGAUGACUUCUUAAGAUACCGGUAUAUUUCGAACCCACCGAAUCACACGCUCCUUUGCAUCGGCGAGUUUCGAUUACCGUAAUGGUUCACGGACUUCAUCAUUCAUAGUGUAUAAGCUGUAAAAAAAAGAAAACGUUACGAAAGCCUUUUGUAGAACCUUAGUUGGACUUUUUCUCCGAUCAAAAAGGUAUUAUCAUAGCCUCAAGAUCCGAGGGACAUUUAAGUAGUUUUACCCAUUUUCACUCCUUAGAUUUAACUUGACAUAAGCUUUGGGUCCAAAUAAACUAAUUCUUCCUCCAAACGAUUCAAAGACUAGCUUUUGAUAGCAACUGCAAAAGAAUUAGCCGGCAAGUAGUUAAAUUAUUCAAUUCACUUUAUAUUUAAGUGCAGUAUUAGUCGACUCAACGGGUUCGUGCAAACACAAUCAAUAUCAUCUAAUUUUAUAAUUUUGAAUAUUUUCCUAUCUGCUCCCGAUUGACCAUUAGAUAAGGUUAAAAAGCAAGCAGCACGAUUCAUGUUUUCUCAUCAAAAUUUUUCGUGGAAUGCAAUAGACGCAUUCAGCUCAUUUCAUUUAAAAAGCCUGGCUUUUAUCUCACUCCAAAGUGAAAAAUUAGCGGUUUUUAUAACAAAAUAAUUUUUGUGUUGAUCUAAUUCCAUGCGUGCCUAGGUAAAUGAUUUCUCGGCAACUGCGCUCGAAGUAGUGGUACAUCAAAGACACCAAUAAUUUUUUUUUUACUGUUGGUGUGCUUUGCAGAUUGAAAUUUUGAUAAGUGGGGGGGGGAAUAAAAAUCUUCAAAAAUUAUUAAUGCUGAAGAAAUAAGUAUAUCUAAAAUCUCCCAAAAUCCGAGGAACACUUCUGUGAGCGAGUGAGCGCUGAGCGAAACUACUGCGCGGAUGCCGCAAGGCCCCUUCAAUUCGACGUGAUACCUCUUGCAUACCUGCGGAGUUAGUUUAGAUGCAUGUGAGAUUACAUGCUUCCAGAGCAGGAGACCUCAUUUUCAUCGGGAAAAAGAACAGAGGUUGAGUUGCUUUUAAUUUAUUUACAACAUAUUCAUCCUUAAAAAGUGGCGCACAGUUUCAAAACUUAUUUCGAAGCAAGGCUUGUUCCUUUCCUUGAGAAUUAGAUGCGCACAGUUCGGAUUUUUUUCUGAAGAGUCGAAUUGAUCAAUUUCAUCGCAAUUAAACAUAUUUCAGUAAACUUUUGAUUUUGGUAGUUUGAAAUGGGUUUUGUGUUUGCGAAAUUUUUUGUUGAGAAAACAUGCCUAGCAGUUCAUUAAAAAUGAUGAUGCCGUUUGCAUAAAACGGUUAUCCUUUUUGCGAAUAACCCUCGAUGGAGUUACGUUCUGUAAUGCGCCUCUAAUGAAUACCGUUUAAUUUCAUGUUCACUCUUCACCAAUCGUGAAUCGCAGUUUACAGACGACUAAUCCAACUCUUCGGCACUAAUUUUGAUUGCAUGAAGCUGUACCUACAAAAAAUUUGGGAGAUUCGAGCCUACAAAUUGAGACUGUUUUCAUUUCCUUUUUGCUCCUCCUUCCUUCCCUUUCAGCAUCCAUGUUUUACAUAUGUACAUAGUUUACGUAGGUAGCCUUAAUUUUAUCUCUUGUAAGAUGUUUCAUGAGAUUUGAUUAUUCUUCACUCACAGCAGAUCUGCGGCUGAGAAUGAACUUCACGAUCCUGUGUGAGUAAUCUACUGAUGUUGUAAUACUUGAAAACUGCCACUGAGAUAUUCAUAAUUUUAACAGCACUGAUCAGAGAUUAAUCACAGGGGAAACACUGUACAGCUAAACUCCAAAACCAUUCGAAGUUCAUUUACAACGUUUCGAAAUUUCCGUGUAUUAUAUAUUUAUUGGAAAUAAAAUAAAUCGACACAAUGGCUUGAAAUUUCCUGUGAUGUUUCUUUACCAUUUCUUCAUAAUCCUGUUGAAAUUUCGAGCCAUCUUAUUGAUUUUUCUUGCUCUUCAAUGAAAGAGGUACACAUGGGAAUUUUGCAAAAUAGGAUUUAAAUACAUGAUUUUAGAAUUUAACCAUCGAACACGGGUCUCUGCGUUUGACGAAAGCACCAAUGACACCGAGGGUAAAAUGACCGAUUACAAAAAAGUGAGUUUUUCUUGUAAAAUAAGGGGGUUGAAAGAUCCUGAAUUUUGCACACUCAUAAAUCUGACAUGAUACAUGGAACAUAUUGGAUAUUUCAUCACCCACAUCGCUGUCAUUAUUAUUGUCAUAUUUGUAGUCACAAUCGGAACUUAAAACUCAGAAUAAGUCGAAGCUAAAUCUUAAAGUCAAGCUAGCUAACGUCAGCCAUAUUUCAUCGGUGCCUACAGUUAUAGGUCAAUAGAAGUUUGUUCUCAAUUAUUUUAUUAUUUUUUUAAAAUAUAUAAUUCGAUAAUGUGAUGCAGAUAACAAGUACUUCGAUUGCACAGUCUCAACAUUUUCGAUGUUGUUUUUAGAUUUUAAUGAAAAACAAACGAACAGUUUUGUUUCAAAUUUUCAGAAAAUACUUUGAAUGACUUGAAAAAAUAUGAGUAAAAAUUCAGAAGAAUAUUAUUGAAUAGUUUUUCUUUUACAAAGGAAAAGGUGACAAGAACUAUACAACGCCACCAAUCGAGAUAUAGGUACGUGUUUUUUUACUUCCACCACUGAAAACCUUAUAAAUGUCCCUUCACGGCUGUAAAGUUUUCUUCAGAUCUAACUCAUCUUCUUGUUGGCAAAUAUUUGACUAAAUUACCCACGCUUAUUUACCUUUUUGUAUACAUAAAACUGAUGAUAAUGAUAAUGAAAAUUUACAUCUCUGACUAAAAUUUUUUGCUGUAUUUUUUUGCGCUCAACAAUUUGUCAAUUUUAAAUUUAUCGAUAAUGAUGAAAUCACAUCGAAUGAAAAUUCACGACUUCCCAAGGGACUCUGAUAUUGAUUGAAACUUAAAAGCUGUGAGUUUGUUACUUUCGAUCAAUGUCAGUGUCCAAACUGAGUCCUACAAUUUAACUUACUUUAAACCAUGUGAAAUGCAACUCGUGGCGAGUGAGUCAAAUUUGGAAGGGAAUGUACUGUCAUUUUUUUUUUAAAUUUUAGUCGUGUCACUCGUGUCAGUUGCUGAAAUGUAUCCAAUUCAUGUAAAAAUGAACUAUUAAAAAUUCUUGUGAUUCCUAUAAACCUCCUCACUGAAAGUAUGACUACAGCAAUAAUAUGCCUCUCAAAAGCAAUAGAAGUACCGUUGCAGUGCACCCACUAUUACACCAACAGAUACUGAAUAAGGAAGUCCCCAGCGCAAAACUUCUUUUAUCUCGCUAAAUUUUUUAUUUAUUAAAACCAAAAGCUGUUGAUGGAUUUUUUGUAACUAAACUCAAAAUUUAAAUGCAAGAUUUCUGAAAAAGGGCGACUCUUAAAUCUUAGACGUGCACGCACAAGGACGUAUUUAAGUAUUUAGUGAUUCAAGUUGAGGCAAUCGAAACGAUUUGAUCAUAAAGAGACUUAUAGUGAGCACCCAAGAAAACAAUUCUUACAAUGACUGCUAUGUUUAGAUCUAUAUUUCUUUUAUAGUCUUUCAGUCUGAGCAACUGUCCUCUGAGUUAUUUUGUAAAUAGUUGUAAAAAUUAAAUUGAGAUACCUAUUGCCUAUGAAUUGAAAAAAAAACCAAGCAGAGAGUCAAAAGAUCCCCCCUCCCCCCACAAUUUAUUAUUAUUCAGAUUGUCACUAAUCUCUGCGAGCUUAAUUUGAGAAGAAUGCGAGUACAUUCCUGCCUUCAGUACGAUACGUCGAAAGGAGUUAUGACCAGCCUCUUUCCUAAGCUGUCUCAAGUGAGAAAAUUAUUGUGACUAAUUUAUGACUAAAAAAAGUUUGAUGAACCAAGUUGACAUUUCUCCUCGGUUUGAAUAAGAUAUAAUAUUGAAUAGAUCUGGCAGACCGCAGAUCUCUUGAUUAUCGAUGUAUCGAGCGAAGUUGUUAAUAAAUUAAAUGACGACAUGGGCCAUGAAUAUGUAGCAAGUCAUCAAUGACGCUAUGGUGUCCAAAUUCCAUGCGAAAAAAACAAACAAAAACCUAUGAUAAAAUCAUAACUAGGAACUAUGUUCUACUCGGUCUUCUCACUUCACCUUAAAAUUACAAUCUUAGCAUCCUCGCAACUCAUCACAAAUCGUUGCAACUUUGUACUUGUACCACUUGGCCUCAGAUAUAAAUUAAUUAUCCAUUCAUAUGCUGUCUUUUACUUAGACUACGUCUAGCCUGUAUAUAAUCUUAAGCAUUUUUUAUCUUCUGUUCAGAUUCACAGUCAAUGACUCUGUAAGGAAAACUUUUUUUUUUUACUCCUAACUUGAACUUUAAACUAGUAUUGAUCAUAAUUUAAGGAGCAUAUUGUAAUAUUUUAAGCCCAAAAAUAUAUAAUUGAAGUUUUGUAAAUUUUAUUUCGUUCAUCAAAUGUAUAUGGCUGUAAUAUUUUAAGAGCAAAAUUCUUUUAAGUACAUUUACACCGAGCUGCACAAUUCAAUUAUUCGUUUUUGUACAUUCACAAGUUUCUGAGUCUUGAGUGAGACUUCAUUACAUAGUUUUUCUUUUGUAGUGUUGAUUAGCACAUGUUUUGAGGGUUUCUAUCAUGACGUAACGAAUCAAAAUGGAGUUCAUACGUUUCCUUGGCUCAAUUCAUAUUAGAUACCAGGCGCUUUUUAUUAUCUUUUUGCGUGGCAGGAGAAGUUUCGUAAAUAGAAAAAGAUACAAUUAUAAGAAAGAGAGAGAAAAGAUGAAAACCAGGAUUCGUUCAUCUGCAAAUGGACCGACUCACUUUGAUGUAGAGGAAUACGAAUUGUAUCAUUUUAAUCAUAUGCCUCAUUUUUCCGAAGACAACACGGAUAACUACACCGAUUACUGCAUGAUACUUCUCCGAUAAGCUGGCAGAUGAUCUCAUCGAUGAGUAAAACGAUGAUACAAUAGAAUACGUAACACGUGGUUUUUUAAAAUCGGCACUCAAAGAAGUAAAUUUAUCAAAGUGUCGCAAAAAUUCCAAUUAAACCGCUCAAAAUGAGGAAAAAGGCACUGAUGUAAUAUAUGUACGUAUGAAAAAGGGAAAAAGGGAAAGCAACCAAAUGUAACUGUUCUUUCUCAUUGUAUUUCUCUCCAGACUGAUUCGUUACAACGCCGUGAUUGAAAUUCUAGCUUUAUUGUGCAGGCCAAGCUCGUGUUCGAAGUUUUCAAUGACGAUGCGCAGAUUAUGUCCAUUUAAAUUGUAAAAUAUCGAUAUUGAUCGAGGCAUCCUGCCUUACCUAGAUUCGAUUAUUUAUAAUGGAUCCAAAUGGAGGGAAAGAAAUUUUACCGCCACCGUUCUGUGAAGGACUUAAGGUCAGGUAUAUGUACCUGUAACUCGCCACUUUACUGAUUGUGGUUACAUUUCAAAGGAAUUGACGCAUUCCGAAUGAGAAAUUGGAAGUCUUCCCUCAAUUUGAUCUCGCCAUUCAAACUUUUUUUUUUCUUCAUGUAUAAAUAAAAUAUAAAUUUAUGCACAAAAUCAU